ACAGACUUACACAAGACUUGAAACCACGGCCAGUUCUACAGUUCUCAUGUUGGCCUCUCACAGCAGACAGCAGGUUUGCAUGGGGGCUCCUGGAUUUCCCCUUCAAAACAUGGAGAAGCAGGACCGCAGCCCCUGAAGGGGGACCGGGGGAGGGGCCGAGGCAGGUGCACGUGAUGGUGGGGCCCGGAGGUGGGAAGCUCAGCGCCAACCUUCCUGCUGGGCCGCUGGAUCUCCUGGAUGCCGUGAAGAUCCCAAUGUGUGAAAAUGAAGUCCCAGUCAACCAUGAUCUGCUGUUUAAUGUUAUUUCUGACCACAGAAUGUUCUCAGUAUAGAGCCAAGAUCCACAUAAAAGAUGGAGAUAAACGUCAACAUCCUGAAGAGAAACCCAAGACUCGAAGGAUACAAGAGAAAUGUCAUGGUCCUUGCAUCACUUCAUCCAACUGCAGCCAGCCCUGUGCUCUGCCCUUUCGUGGGGAAAUAGGAUUUACAUGCAAUCAAAACAAGUGGCAAAAAUCAACUGAAACAUGUACAAGCCUUUCUGUGGAAAUGCUCUUCCAGGACUUAAACAGUGCAUCACGCCUUUCGGUGGCAGCGCCUUCCAUACCUCUGCGCAUUCUUGACUUCCGUGCUCCAGAGCCCAGGGAGAGCGUGGCGCAGGUAAUCCGCAGGAGCUGCCCACGGGACUACGCCUGCAUCAUCGACGUGGUGAAAUCCGCAGAAGCCACAUCUGGAAAUAUCGCCUUUAUUGUGGAGUUGCUAAAAAACAUCUCUACAGACUUGUCUGAUAAUGUUACCAAAGAGAAAAUGAAGAGCUACAGCGAAGUGGCCAACCACAUCCUUGACACAGCAGCUAUUUCAAACUGGGCUUUCAUUCCUGACAGGAACGCCAGCUCAGAUUUGCUGCAGUCAGUGAAUUCCUUUGCCCGGCAACUCCACCUCCGCAAUGCAUCUGAGAACAUUGUGGACGAGCCCUUCAUUCAGACGAAAGGGUUUCACAUCAGCCACAACACCGCGGAGGAAAGUUUCAGAUUCUCUGGGAACACGAACAAUACAGCAGAGGGGAUCUUAGGAAUGGUAGAAAUUCCCCAGCAUGAGCUGUGGAAGCUGCCAGCAAAUGCCUCCCAGGCCAUCACCAUAGCGUUUCCCACCUUGGGGGCCGUUCUGAAAGAAGACCACUUGCCAAAUGCGAGUCUUCCCAGGCCGGUAAAUGGUCUGGUUCUUUCAGUGAUUUUACCAGACCGAUUACAGCAAAUCUUCCUCACAUUUGAGAAGAUCAAUAAAUCCCAGAGUGCGAGGGCUCAGUGUGUUGGCUGGCAUUCCAGGAAAAGGAGAUGGGAUGAGAAGGCGUGUGAGAAAACAUUGGAUAUCAACAACAAAGUGAAAUGCCGGUGUAACUACACCAAUGCAGUGAUGUCUUUUUCCAUUCUAAUGUCCCCCAUAUCUAUAGAUGACAAAAUCCUGGACUACAUCACCCGCAUUGGCCUCAGUGUCUCCAUCCUAAGCUUGGUUCUUUGCCUGCUCAUUGAAGCUACAGUGUGGUCCCGGGUUGUUGUGACAGAGAUAUCAUACAUGCGCCACGUGUGCAUCGUGAACAUAGCCGUGUCGCUCCUGACUGCUAAUGUGUGGUUCAUCAUAUCCUCCAACUUUAGCAAAAAGGCCCAGGACCACAACUGGUGUAUUGCAAUGACAUUUUUUAGCCACUUUUUCUACCUCUCUCUGUUUUUCUGGAUGCUCUUCAAAGCACUGCUCAUCAUCUAUGGAAUAUUGGUCGUUUUUCAUAGGAUGAUGAAGUCCCGCAUGAUGGCCAUUGGCUUUGUCAUUGGCUAUGGGUUCCCAUUGAUCAUCGCGGGCACCACAGUUGCUAUCACCAUGCCAGAGAAAGGCUACAUGAGACAUGAUGCCUGUUGGCUUAACUGGGACAAUACCAAAGCCCUUUUAGCAUUCGCCAUCCCAGCCUUGGUCAUUGUGGCUGUGAAUCUUCUUGUGGUUUUGGUUGUUGCGGUCAACACUCAGAGGCCCUUUAUUGGCAGUUCCAAGUCUCAAGAUGUGGCCAUAAUUAGGAGGAUCAGUAAAAACGUUGCCAUCCUCACCCCACUGCUGGGACUGACCUGGGGUUUUGGAGUAGCCACUCUCAUCAAAGGCAAUUCCUUGAUAUUCCACAUAAUCUUUGCCCUGCUCAAUGCUUUCCAGGUCCAGAAGGUUGAGAACCACUGUGAGACAUUUAGUUGUGGCAUCUCUCACCCUGUUGAUUAUCAAGUUGCAUUGAACCGAUCAAGCUGGUUGGAUGAAAAUUUACUUCCUUCUCUCCUCACUGAUCCACCUGGCUCCCUCUUAAAGUUUCCGUGGCAGAAGAAGUUGACCUGCACUUAUGGAGGACUAGUAGGGGUUCUUCAUCUUGCUGUUUGGAACCAUUAUGGAUCACAAGCACAUCAUCAAGUCAACAGGAGGCUCUAUAUAAGAGAUGCUUUGAGGAUGAAGAUGUCGUCACUGAAGGGGCCAACAAGAGUAGCAGAGAAUGCAUCAUUAAGCCCAACCAAUGGAUCUAAAUUAAUGAAUCGUUGAAGAUGAGAUGUGAGUAUUAAAAACUCAAGAAGAAACUUCACCUGCAAGUUGUGACAGACCACUCAGUGCCUCUUGUGAGCACACUCUUCCCUACUCAGUGAUGCUGGAGUGAGGUGGGAAGAGAAUAGAUGGACGUACCCUUCAGAGAACAGAAACGUCUUGAUCGACCAGCACAUAUAUGAGAAUAUGUACAUCUUCUUUAAAACCUACAGAACCAAGUCAAAGCACACUUGUUUCUGUCCUCAAUGAGAGGAUGCUGCCAUCAUACCUGCACUGAUACAGGAUACACCCUUGCUGUCCACAGCGCUCACACACCUAAUUCCAUCUUGGCAAUCAAGAGGAAAGAAGUUGGCUGCAAUCCCGAAUCUCUAACUGUUUGACCUACUGUUGGCAGAAGCUUACAAAGCAGAACUCAGAGGGCUGCUUCGGCCAUUCCUCUUUCUCACGACAUCUUUAUGUGAAAACACUUUUGCAGAGUGUGAUCUGGGCUGGACGGUAUGCCUGGGAUCUACAAGGACAGACACCUUUUGUCCUUCUGGCUUAAGGCUUUUGGUUUCUUUCCUCUCUAGUCUUGCCUUUUAAAGUCCAAAAUGAAAUAAAAGAAACAUGCUUCAAAUAUAAGCAAAUACGUCUUUUUAGAUCUUGGAGCAAUGGCCCAAGGUACAGGCUCCGGGUUUCCUACCUAAGCUAUUACUGUGGUCAGUGCAGUCACCUUUGACCCAUGCUCCGCUUUAGCCCUCGCAUCCCAGUCUUUGUUGCUAUGAUACUUAUCAGCUCAGCUCUUCCUACUUCUGAGCCAAUUGCAAUCAUUUUGAAAAGUACACUAAGAACUUCAUACGCACUCAGGAUUAGGGCAUGGGAUUUGAGGCCAUCAAUCUAGUUUAGGUGUGCUAAGGGUGAGACCUGAGUCCUGGGUGUCUUUAGCUGGUUGCUAUUUCCUUUAUCGCCUAUAUUGGUAGGGUCAGGCUUACUGAACAUCUGUUGUGCUGCAACUAGUACUCUGUUCUCAGGUCCACCUUACAGGACCAGAGCCCUGACUCCCCCUCUGGACAGUUUCAUCCUCAGAAGCCAUCCCAUGUCCUGGCUAGAGCCCUGUUCCAUUGGUCAGCCCCUUGGGAUGGAUUGUCACUGUUUAUUCAUAUUUAGGCUGCCGACACUGUGCCAUAUACUAAACCCCUUAGACAGUGCUCCUGGCCCAGGUCAAGCUCCAGGUACCUAGCCCAGCCUUGCUUCUUCUCCUCCCCCAUUGACUUCUGCUGAGCUCUCAGAAUACUUCAGAAAGGGCUUCUUACUUUGAACCCGCAUCUUUACCAUCACACAUCUUACUGUUGCUAUCCAGCCCUACCACUGAUGGGAGCACAGUAGAGGUCUCAAAAAUAACAAGUUCUAUACCCAGCCAGUGUAGCUCAGUGGUUGAGCACCGCCUUAUGAACUAGGUCACUGUUCA